CCUACGGGUGGCAGCAGUGGGGAAUAUUGCACAAUGGGCGCAAGCCUGAUGCAGCCAUGCCGCGUGUGUGAAGAAGGCCUUCGGGUUGUAAAGCACUUUCAGCGGGGAGGAAGGCGGUGAGGUUAAUAACCUCAUCGAUUGACGUUACCCGCAGAAGAAGCACCGGCUAACUCCGUGCCAUCAGCCGCGGUAAUACGGAGGGUGCAAGCGUUAAUCGGAAUUACUGGGCGUAAAGCGCACGCAGGCGGUCUGUCAAGUCGGAUGUGAAAUCCCCGGGCUCAACCUGGGAACUGCAUUCGAAACUGGCAGGCUAGAGUCUUGUAGAGGGGGGUAGAAUUCCAGGUGUAGCGGUGAAAUGCGUAGAGAUCUGGAGGAAUACCGGUGGCGAAGGCGGCCCCCUGGACAAAGACUGACGCUCAGGUGCGAAAGCGUGGGGAGCAAACAGGAUUAGAUACCCGUGUAGUC
rnacentral:rRNA from 1 species